rnacentral:tRNA from 1 species
AGCAGAAGAGCUCAGCAUGUGGAGCUAAGCAGCCCAGGUUCAAGUCCUGGUUCUGCCA